rnacentral:lncRNA from 12 species
GAAAAUCUCAGAGGCUCUUGGUGAGGUUUGCAAAAGACUCCACUGCAGGCUUUAAGGGAAGAUCAUAGUUCUCUGCUCAGUUACCACUGGCGUGGGUGGCUAGGUGCUGUUUCUUUUAGCUUUACAGUAAAUGGGAGCUUCUUAUCACAUUUUUCUCAGCAGCCUUAUGGGGCGAUACCCCCAGGAGGAAAGACAGGGACAGCUGAACCAUAUUUGGUGAAUCUGAACCACCUAAGCAUGUGAUGGCUAAUAUUUAAAUGACAUGAUGUGUUUUUCAUGAUGGAGCUGUGGUUUCCACAAGGAUAACGUCAAGCGUGUGAUGUUAGCAUAUUCUGAACAGUUUGGUGAUCUAUCCCAGACCUUAGCCAAUUGCUGCUCCUCCCGUUUGAAGGAAACUUCGGCUGUACCUGUUCUUUCAUCUCCUGUGUGGAAAAAUGUCUAUCGACUUGAAGCCCUAGGAGUCUUAAUUUUCAAGGAUUUUAGUUGUAAGCCGUUCAAGGCAUGAGCUAAGGUUUCAGGCAAAGGAGGAAGAUCAACAAUGGAAUAAAAGACAGCUGGAAACAGCUCCUAUGUAAUAC